rnacentral:sRNA from 1 species
GAAGAGCGUGAUACUAACACCAUCUGUCCUUUUCCUCCCAGGAAAGCUCGUGUAUGAGCGCAUCUUUUCCAUGUGUGUGGAUAACCGCAGUGUCUUACCAGAUCACUUUUCUCCAGAGAAUGCAAAUGACACGGCCAAGGAAACAUGCCUAAAUUGGUUUUUCAAGAUUGCCUCCAUCAGGGAACUCAUUCCAAGAUUUUACGUGGAGGCAUCCAUCCUGAAAUGUAACAAAUUCCUCUCCAAAACGGGAAUUUCAGAGUGCCUGCCCCGGUUGACAUGCAUGAUCAGAGGGAUCGGAGACCCGCUGGUGUCGGUUUAUGCCCGUGCCUACCUGUGCCGGGUGGGAAUGGAAGUGGCCCCACAUCUCAAAGAAACCCUAAAUAAGAACUUUUUUGACUUCCUCCUUACGUUCAAACAGAUUCAUGGGGAUACGGUCCAGAACCAGCUGGUGGUCCAAGGAGUGGAGCUCCCAUCAUACCUCCCCUUGUACCCGCCUGCCAUGGACUGGAUCUUCCAGUGCAUCUCCUACCAUGCCCCCGAGG